rnacentral:rRNA from 1 species
UACGUAGGCGGCAAGCGUUGUCCGGAUUUACUGGGCGUAAAGAGCGCGCAGGCGGUCGUUCAAGUCGCGUGUGAAAGCCCCCGGCUCAACUGGGGAGGGUCACGCGAUACUGAUCGACUCGAAGGCAGGAGAGGGAAGUGGAAUUCCCGGUGUAGUGGUGAAAUGCGUAGAUAUCGGGAGGAACACCAGUGGCGAAGGCGACUUCCUGGCCUGUUCUUGACGCUGAGGCGCGAAAGCUAGGGGAGCAAACGGG